rnacentral:ribozyme from 1 species
UGCUCAGCAAAUCCUAUCCCUACCUCCUGGUUUUUGCCGGGGUACGAGCAACCUUAGGGAUGAUCGGGUAACCAACCUCGGUGGGAACUUUGGUCGUAUGCUGACAGGGAAGA